rnacentral:rRNA from 1 species
GAUGAACGCUAGCGGCAGGCUUAACACAUGCAAGUCGAGGGGCAGCGCGGGAUAGCAAUAUCCUGGCGGCGACCGGCGGAAGGGUGCGUAACGCGUGAGCGACAUGCCCGUUGCCCGGGGACAACCGGUGGAAACGCCGACUAAUCCCCGAUGGGAUAUUGUGCCGCAUGGCACGAUAUUGAAAGUUACGGCGGCGACGGAUUGGCUCGCGUCCGAUUAGCUUGUUGGCGGGGUAACGGCCCACCAAGGCUGCGAUCGGUAGGGGUUCUGAGAGGAAGGCCCCCCACAAUGGGACUGAGACACGGCCCAUACUCCUACGGGAGGCAGUAGUGAGGAAUAUUGGUCAAUGGGCGGAAGCCUGAACCAGCCAUGCCGCGUGCGGGAAGGAGGCCCUAUGGGCUGUGAACCGCUUUUGCCUGGGGGCAAUAAGGGCGUCGCGCACGUCCGAUGAGAGUACCAGGCGAAUAAGCAUCGGCUAACUCCGUG